rnacentral:rRNA from 1 species
UCUACGGGAGGCAGCAGUAGGGAAUCUUUCACAAUGGGCGAAAGCCUGAUGGAGCAACGCCGCGUGCAGGAAGAAGGCCUUCGGGAUGUAAACUGCUUUUAUAAGCGAGAAAUAUGAUGGUAACUGAGGACUAAGGAACGGCACACUCCGUGCAAGCAGCCGCUGACAUACGUAGGAUCCGAGCGUUAUCCGGAGUGACGGGGUGUAAAGAGGCGCGUAGGGUGUGUAAUAAGUAGCUAGGGAAAUCUGGUGGCUCAACCAUUCAGAAUAUUAGCUAAACUGUUAAGCUUGAGACCGUUAGGGGUAACUGGAAUUUCUAGUGUAGCAGUGAAAUCCGUAGAUACCAGAAGGAACACCAAUAGCGUAGGCAGGUUACUGGGACGGUUCUGACACUAAGGCACGAAAGCGUAGGGAGCAAACGGGAUUAGAUACCCCUGUAGUC